UACGUAGGGUGCGAGCGUCGAUCGGAAUUACUGGGCGUAAGGCGUGCGCAGGCGGUUUUGAAAGUCAGAUGUGAAAUCCCCGGGCUCAACCUGGGAACUGCGUUUGAAACUCCAAGACUAGAGUAUAGGAGAGGGGGGUAGAAUUCCACGUGUAGCAGUGAAAUGCGUAGAGAUGUGGAGGGAUACCAACGGCGAAGGCAGCCCCCUGGCCUAAUACUGACGCUCAUGCACGAAAGCGCGGGGAGCAAACAGG
rnacentral:rRNA from 1 species